AGAGUUUGAUCCUGGCUCAGGAUGAACGCUGGCGGCGUGCCUAAUACAUGCAAGUCGAACGGAGUGCAGCAAUGUACUUAGUGGCGACCGGGUGCGUAACACGUAGCUGACCUGCCCCUCAGCGGGGGACAACAGCCUGAAAGGGCUGCUAAUACCGCAUACAUUUGGGAGGAUUAGACGCUCCUAAAGAAACUUCCGGGGCCGAGGGAGGGGGCUGCGGCCCAUCAGGUAGUUGGUGAGGUAAUGGCUCACCAAGCCGACGACGGGUAGGGGGCCUGAGAGGGUGGUCCCCCACACUGGGACUGACACACGGCCCAGACUCCUACGGGAGGCAGCAGUAAGGGAUAUUGCGCAAUGGGCGAAAGCCUGACGCAGCAACGCCGCGUGGAGGAUGACGGCCUUCGGGUUGUAAACUCCUUUGGGGGGGGACGAGGAAGGACGGUACCCCCAUAACAAGUCACGGCUAACUACGUGCCAGCAGCCGCGGUAAAACGUAGGUGGCGAGCGUUAUCCGGAUUUACUGGGCGUAAAGGGUGUGCAGGCUGCUCCUCAAGUGGUGUAUGAAAGCACCCGGCUCAACCGGGUCAUGGUAUGCCAGACUGAGGAGCUAGAGAGCGAGAGCGGGACGUGGAAUUCCGGGUGUAGUGGUGAAAUGCGUAGAGAUCCGGAGGAACCCCAGAGGCGAAGGCGGCGUCCUGGCUCGCAUCUGACGCUCAGACACGACAGCAUGGGGAGCGAACGGGAUUAGAAACCCCGGUAGUCCAUGCCGUAAACGAUGCAUACUAGGCGUCGGGGGACUCAACCCCCUCGGUGCCGCAGUUAACACGGUAAGUAUGCCGCCUGGGGAGUACGACCGCAAGGUUAAAACUCAAGGAAUUGACGG
rnacentral:rRNA from 1 species